CGCUGGCGGCGUGCCUAAUACAUGCAAGUCGAGCGGAAUGAUGAAGAAGCUUGCUUCUUCUGAUUUUAGCGGCGGACGGGUGGGUAACACGUGGGCAACCUACCUUGUAGAUUGGGAUAACUCCGGGAAACCGGGGCUAAUACCGAAUAAUCCAUUUUGCUUCAUGGCGAGAUGUUGAAAGACGGUUUCGGCUGUCACUACAAGAUGGGCCCGCGGCGCAUUAGCUAGUUGGUAGGGUAAUGGCCUACCAAGGCGACGAUGCGUAGCCGACCUGAGAGGGUGAUCGGCCACACUGGGACUGAGACACGGCCCAGACUCCUACGGGAGGCAGCAGUAGGGAAUCUCCCACAAUGGACGAAAGUCUGAUGGAGCAACGCCGCGUGAGUGAAGAAGGUUUUCGGAUCGUAAAACUCUGUUGUAAGGGAAGAACACGUACGAGAGUAACUGCUCGUACCUUGACGGUACCUUAUUAGAAAGCCACGGCUAACUACGUG
rnacentral:rRNA from 1 species